rnacentral:rRNA from 1 species
AUACGUAGGUCCCGAGCGUUGUCCGGAUUUAUUGGGCGUAAAGCGAGCGCAGGCGGUUUGAUAAGUCUGAAGUUAAAGGCUGUGGCUCAACCAUAGUUCGCUUUGGAAACUGUCAAACUUGAGUGCAGAAGGGGAGAGUGGAAUUCCAUGUGUAGCGGUGAAAUGCGUAGAUAUAUGGAGGAACACCGGUGGCGAAAGCGGCUCUCUGGUCUGUAACUGACGCUGAGGCUCGAAAGCGUGGGGAGCGAACAGGAUUAGAUACCCUGGUAGUCCACGCCGUAAACGAUGAGUGCUAGGUGUUGGGUCCUUUCCGGGAUUCAGUGCCGCAGCUAACGCAUUAAGCACUCCGCCUGGCGAGUACGACCGCAAGGUUGAA